rnacentral:rRNA from 1 species
UGGGGAAUAUUGGACAAUGGGGGGAACCCUGAUCCAGCCAUGCCGCGUGUGUGAAGAAGGCCUUAUGGUUGUAAAGCACUUUAAGUUGGGAGGAAGGGCAGUAAGCGAAUACCUUGCUGUUUUGACGUUACCGACAGAAUAAGCACCGGCUAACUCUGUGCCAGCAGCCGCGGUAAUACAGAGGGUGCAAGCGUUAAUCGGAAUUACUGGGCGUAAAGCGCGCGUAGGUGGUUCGUUAAGUUGAAUGUGAAAGCCCCUGGCUCAACCUGGGAACUGCAUCCAAAACUGGCGAGCUAGAGUAGGGCAGAGGGUGGUGGAAUUUCCUGUGUAGCGGUGAAAUGCGUAGAUAUAGGAAGGAACACCAGUGGCGAAGGCGACCACCUGGGCUCAUACUGACACUGAGGUGCGAAAGCGUGGGGAGCAAACAGG